rnacentral:rRNA from 1 species
AGAACGAACGCUGGCGGCAUGCCUAACACAUGCAAGUCGAACGCUUUUGGGGCUUCGGUCCCAAAGGAGUGGCGCACGGGUGAGUAGCGCGUGGGAACCUGCCCUGGAGUGGGGGAUAACCGAGGGAAACUUCGGCUAAUACCGCAUACGCCGGGAAACCGGGAAAGAUUUAUCGCUCUAGGAGGGGCCCGCGUCGGAUUAGGUAGUUGGUGGGGUAACGGCCUACCAAGCCUGUGAUCCGUAGCUGGUCUGAGAGGAUGAUCAGCCACACUGGGACUGAGACACGGCCCAGACUCCUACGGGAGGCAGCAGUGGGGAAUAUUGGACGAUGGGCGCAAGCCUGAUCCAGCAAUGCCGCGUGAGUGAUGAAGGCCUUCGGGUUGUAAAGCUCUUUCGCACGCGAGGAUGAUGACGCUAGCGUGAGAAGAAGCCCGGCUAACUUCGUGCCAGCAGCCGC